rnacentral:sRNA from 1 species
GUGCGCGCCGCGUCGCCGUGGAGACGAGGGCGGGCCCGCGCGAGACUGGCGUCUAGAGGCGCGCGAAGCGCUGAGGCGGGCGUGGACCGCGCGGGAGUUAAGAAGCGGGUCCCGGACCGCCCUAUACCGCCGGGUUUUCUCCCAGCGUCAGGCCCGAUGGCUCGGCUUCCCCAGUUAGAAGGGGAAGAUAAAAGACUUUGAUUCAUGAAGAAUCUGCUCACUGAGAAGUGUAUAUCAAGCCACAAUUUCCAUCAAAAAGUGAUUAAGCAGAGAAUGGAGAAGAAGGUUGAUUCCAGAGACUUGCGAAUGUGUGGAAUGACACCAUCACCAGCAAUUGUAGCCUUGAUGAGAGAGUCCAAUUCUUCUUCUUCACUAAUAGCAGGUAUUUUAAGGAUGGUGCAGUUAAGAAACCUUAUUCUACAAAGACACUGUCCAACAAGAAGUCUUCUGCAUCCUUUGGGAUCCGGAGGGAGUUACCUAGUACCAGUCAUCUAGUGCAGUAUUGUGGCACACAUACUUGUACCCGACAGGGCCGGUUAAGAGAACUGCGCAUCAGGUG